rnacentral:rRNA from 1 species
GCGAAUUCGCCCUUGAGUUUGAUCCUGGCUCAGAACGAACGUUGGCGGCGUGGAUUAGGCAUGCAAGUCGAGGGAAUCCCAGCAAUGGGGGAACCGGCGUAAGGGGCAGUAAUGCAUGGGUACCUACCUUUGGGUUCGGGAUAGCCAUCAGAGAUGGUGGGUAAUACCGGAUGACGUCUUGCGACCAAAGAUUUAUCGCCCGGAGAGGGGCCCAUGUGAUAUUAGGUAGUUGGUGAGGUAACGGCUCACCAAGCCGAAGAUGUCUAGCGGGUGUGAGAGCACGACCCGCGCCACUCGCACUGAGACACUGGCGAGACACCUACGGGUGGCUGCAGUCGAGGAUCUUCGUCAAUGGGGGCAACCCUGAACGAGCGACGCCGCGUGUGCGAUGAAGGCCUUCGGGUUGUAAAGCACUGUCGAGGGGGAGAAAAGCGAAAGCUUGAUCUAUCCCUGGAGGAAGCACGGGCUAAGUUCGUGCCAGCAGCCGCGGUA